UUAUAAAGCCAUAUGACUAAAUGUUACUUAAGCAAGAAGCAUAUCUAAUGAAAUUUAGAUGUAAUUCAUGGGACUGUUGGAUCUCUUUCAUCAUCCCACUGUGAUGGUGAGGUUUCAAAGAGUGACGAUCCUCUAACAUCAACACCAAUACGCAAAUCAGAGGGACAAUUUUGACACAUUGAAGCAGGUCUUCAGAGCAGAGCGAGGAACAAAAUUUUUUCAAUGGUAGUGUGACCAACAAGCGAGCGGUUGGUCUGGUAGAGUGGUGUUUUAAGAGAAUUAAAAUAUGUCUGCUGAGUGGUGUGGCAAGGGUACAGGCUACGGAGAGGGCGGGGUGGUUGCGCGCUGCUACAGUUAUGUUCUUCUGUUUGUAGUAACUCCCUAGCUGUACACAGAAAAGAAGGAAAGAAACAGUGGUGUGGAAAUGGGUGGUGGAACAGAGAGCCCUGUGACCACUGUGGAUCCUUUCUCUCUCCGAUUCCUUUUACAAGCCCUAACCUGCCGUCUCUUCCCAUUACAAGGGAGCUUCUUGAGGUUCUCCGAUGGGGUCUGUGGAACUCAACUAGGUUUCGUUUCGAUUGUCGGAUCUGCUGAUAUAUAGAGAAUUGAGGCAUUUUCUUGUUGGAGUAUAAGAUUUGGUGCCGGAAGUUCCAAUCUCUCGUAUGAUUGCUUCAUAUUUAGCCCCCUUGUGCCAAUGGGCAUCAUAAAGAUUAGGCCUCAGGGGCCUGGAAAUGAUGAUUCUGCAGGAAAAGGUUUUCGUACCUUUCCACUCAAUGAGCUCACACAAGAGGAGGGAUUGCUCUCAGAAAAGAACCCUGGUGAUAUUUUUAAUGACUGUGAACUUGCAGAGGUGGGAUGUGAGUUUGUCAUGGUGGAACAUCAGAUAUGCAAUGUCCCUUAUGAUCUUUAUGACUUGCCAGAUUUAAAGGAAAUACUCUCUUUGGAGAUCUGGAAUUCUUGUUUAACGGAAGAGGAAAGAUUUUCUCUAGCAGCUUACCUUCCGGAUAUGGACCAACAGACAUUUUGGAUUACGAUAAAGGAGUUGCUCAAUGGUGAUAAUAUGUUCUUUGGAAGUCCCUUGGAAAAAUUUUUCUUCAGAUUGAAAGGUGGAUUUUAUUCUCCACAAGUUUCUCAUUUAAGGGAAAGUCUGCAGUUCUUGCAAAGGCGGGGCUAUUAUCAUUCUCUAAGAUCAUAUCAUGAGAAUAUGUGUCAGAAGUGUGUGGACAUCAAAAGGGCAUGGGGUAACUGUCACCCAAGCAUGAGCGUUGAGGAAAGGGUUCGCUUUUGGAACAACAGGGAAGAUCGCAAGCCUGUAUUUUUGGUUGAUCUCAAUGCAUUUCCUGCAGAGGAAGAGAUGUUAAACAAGGGUGAAAAAAAUGUGGCAACUAUUCCACAGUUAAAGAAGACCAAGUAUAUGAAUGAAAGGGUAAAUGCUCAUGAUCCAGUGGUUGUUUUUAAUGGCAUAGCAGUAAACAGGAAAACAAACAGAAAAGGAGUUCUGAAAAUAAAACCAAUUGAAAUGAAUGCAUUGCCAAAUCAACCUCUGCUACCAUUGCCAAAUGAGCCAUGGGAGGCAUGUAGGCGGACACCUAAAGGCGUAUUAAAAAUAAAGCCUAAGUGGGAUCCUCUUGGUCGUCAACAGGAACGAUCCAGAAUGAUUCAAAUUCCACCAGAACAAAGUACAGCUGAUCUAUUGGGUGUUCAUAACUCUAGAUUCUCCCCUUCGCAAUUUGCUUUUACAUGGGAUAAACAGACUUUUGAUGAGAAAUUACAAUUUGUACAUCAGACAGGUAGAGAUGGAAAUACCGGCAGAAGUCCUGAGCUUAUAGAAAAUCGACAAAGGGAGGAAUAUCUGAACAGGGGUGCUGGACAGAGAUUACAUAGAAAGAUAAAGAUGGUAAAGGACGUGAGGUCAGACAAUGCUAGAGAGAUAAAUGAAGAAAUUUUUCCAUUGAAAAAUAACCAGAAAUUGAGGAUUUAUUCUCAUGAAGCUGGUGGGAAGCGAAAGCACCACAAUGGAGAGAACCUUUGGCAAAACUCAGGUCAACAAAGCAAGGUAUUUCUUGCAGGUUCUGCAGACUCAUACCGUAUUACUCCUGACAAUCAUCAAGGAAGAAUGCAGAUGACUGCAGUGCAUUCCACACUUUCUGAAGCAGAUUCAGGGGUCCCAAUUGUUCUCACUGACGAGCACCCAGCAUUUACAAAGUCUUCUGAUCAUUCAAAACAUAAGCUUAGAGAUAACAAUGAUGGAGUAUUGAAAAUGCCAAAUGCCCAAAUGGCUAGUUCUGGGGUUGAAAGAGAAGGUCUUAUGUUUCCUAUAACAUAUAAGCGGAAAAAAGCAUACGCAAAGCUCAACUCAGUCACCUCUCUUAAGCAGCCACCCACAGUAGCUGAUGUGGAAUCAGUAGUGCCGAGCGGAACAGUAGACAUGAAAACAAAGGCUAUCAAGAUAAAGUUUAAAGGUUGGAAUGAUAAAAAUGCUGAAUACAAACAAGGACUGCUGAAUGGGAUGCAACAUGGGUCCAUGUCUAGCUAAACCUCUGUGAUAUAAUGCAUGAGCAUCUUUUAUUGGAUCCUGCAACAAACUGAAGAUGUUUUGGUACUUCUGCUGGUGGAAUGCUGCAUUGGUUGCAAAACAAGCGGCUGCUUGUUAGGCCUGUAUUAUAAAAAGCAGCCAUGCAUCCAUUUUGAUGGUGGGGUGUCCGGGAAAGAUUUGCUGGAAAUUUCAUCAAAUUUAAAAUAUUUGGAGCUGAUUGCGGUCACAAGGGAAUGAAACCGCAUAAUAUGUGGCAGUUAUAUGCAUAUAAUUAUAUACAAAUAGCCUAGGCACUUUAUCCCUUUCUCUGGGAUGAUCUGUAUUUGGUUUUGCAUCCUACUAUCAGCAAGUAGGCAAAAGAGGUCUACAUCAAUUUAAGACAAGGUGGUGAAGGACCAACUGAGAUGGUAUGGGGUGAAGGACAACUGAGAUGGUAUGGGCUUGCGGAGUGAAGACAUAGGGACGCUGCAGGAAGGAGAGGUGCUUGGAUUUCUGUUGAAGGGUAUGGUGACAGUUGGUGAAUGAGGAUUCACAAAGGCAAGCCCAAAUAUUUGAUAUUAGGUUCAAUGGUUUGUUAUAAUUUACUGAUACUUUGCGAGGUAGUUGUGCUGCUAAUAGUCAGGGAAAACCAUAUCUUAUUCAUGGAAUGCAUUUUAGGGCAGCUUUGACAGAGACUCGGGAGGUUUAAUCUCAAUGUAGUCCCUAUGCCUUCAAAGAUAAAUGUUAUUUAGUAAACUCUCACUGGCAAUUUCAUGACCGUACAAAGGGGCUUUUUCAUGAAAGGCAUUUGUAGGGUACAUUUUUUGGCAGUGACAAUCUUAUGUACACUCAAGAGCCUUAAUCUCAACAUAAUCUCUAAUAUUUCAAAGUAAAUGUAUUAGCAUACUCUCACUAGCAUGACAUGGCACAGCACUUCUUUAUGAACUUAAGGGCUAUACCAAAGUCAUUUCCUUGCCACUUCCAUCUGAAUCAACUCAUUGCAACUGUUCCUAUUCAAUUAAUUGAUUCUUUUUAUAUGUUGUAUUGUAUGUUCUCCGAAAGCGAGUAGUUGGCUAAACACAUUGGGAAGCCAAAUUUAUCAGUCACUGGAAGCUCCAGGAACAGAGUAGCGCUUGGAUGGAGACCUGCAUCUUUGAGAGUCAUUUCCAACUGUUCAUAGCCAUAAACUUUUCUUGGGAAGUUGGAUAUCAGCCGAUAGCUUCCUAUACCAGAACUGCAAUGCUUUCACCAGAGAUCGGAGCUACAACAGCACAGAAUGGGAAACUUGCUGCUUUCAAUGCGGCAACCAUCUCUGAUCCUUCUCCUCUGUUUGCAACUGCGCCCCAUGAUACAAAGUUUGUGUCCAGAAACUCUACCACCAGCUGUGAACAAAGCGUGUUGCGGCAAAAGGGAGCUGUGUAGGGAUGGUCCGGAUCGUGGAGGUACAAGAAAACAAACUUCGACUCAUCCUUUGCAAUCUUUAGAGCUUCAAGGAACUGACAUGCAUAGAAGAAAGGGUGGGUGCUGCCAUAUUGUCGCUCGAAGAGUGUUAUAAAAAGCCAUUCCUCUGGGAUGAUCAUAAGUUCUGGCUGUUGCUGGGAUUGUGGAUUCUGAGGGGCUCUUCUUGGAGCUCCAUGGCCAAUUGCUCUUGAUAUCCCUUCUAUUAUGCUGAGAGGAAGUCUUACCAUCCUGCGAACAAACUCAGUGCAUGAGGCUCGCAGCUCCUGUCCUGUGCCACCUCUUGUUGAUGUCAUUCUUAAACUAGCAAGAGUGUUUCUUUAAGAGAUAACUCGAAGUGGUUUAAUGGAUGAAUUGAAUUGGAAGCAGCAGCUUUUGGAUUCUGGUGGUGGAUGUAAGGAGCUAUCUUUAUGACCUUUUAUUCUUUUUCUGCCUUUGGAAGCGGAGCCUCUCUGGAGCAUUUCUUAAGGAGAUCAAGCAUUCUUUCUUUGCCAAUAUCCAUAAACUUUUCUUUUCUGGGAAGCUAGUUGGGUUGCUUUAUUCCCUGUCUCCCAGAUGUAAAGAAAAGCACAACUAGUCCUGGACCAACCUGAUAUGUAUGAUGCAAAAAAUGGAUCAGGUACAUGGUACGUUAAAGAAAAAUAUUGGACGAAUACUAUUAUUCGGAUCUUUGUCUUCAGACAAUCGAACUUCUACCAAGUUAAUUUGAUCAUUUUAAUGUAUAUUGAUAUUAUUGAUGCU